rnacentral:rRNA from 1 species
GACGAACGCUGGCGGCGUGCCUAAUACAUGCAAGUCGAGCGCAGGAAGCUGACGGAACUCUUCGGAGGGAAGGCAGUGGAAUGAGCGGCGGACGGGUGAGUAACACGUAAGGAACCUGCCUCAAGGAUUGGGAUAACUCCGAGAAAUCGGAGCUAAUACCGGAUAGUUCAACGGACCGCAUGGUCCGCUGAUGAAAGGCGCUCCGGCGUCACCUUGAGAUGGCCUUGCGGUGCAUUAGCUAGUUGGUGGGGUAACGGCCCACCAAGGCGACGAUGCAUAGCCGACCUGAGAGGGUGAUCGGCCACACUGGGACUGAGACACGGCCCAGACUCCUACGGGAGGCAGCAGGAGGGAAUCUUCCACAAUGGACGAAAGUCUGAUGGAGCAACGCCGCGUGAGUGAUGAAGGUUUUCGGAUCGUAAAACUCUGUUGUAAGGGAAGAACACGUACGAGAGGAAAUGCUCGUACCUUGACGGUACCUUACGAGAAAGCCACGGCUAACUACGUGCCAGCCGCCGCCGUAAUAC